rnacentral:rRNA from 1 species
UCAGGGAGGAACAAAAUGACGUGUACCUGAAGAAUAAGCAUCGGCUAACUCCGUGCCAGCAGCCGCGGUAAGACGGAGGAUGCAAGUGUUAUCCGGAAUCACUGGGCGUAAAGCGUCCGUAGGUGGUCAAAUAAGUCAACUGUUAAAUCUUGAGGCUCAACCUCAAAAUCGCAGUCGAAACUAUUCGACUAGAGUAUAGUAGGGGUAAAGGGAAUUUCCAGUGGAGCGGUGAAAUGCGUAGAGAUUGG